rnacentral:rRNA from 1 species
GAUGAACGCUGGCGGCGUGCCUAAUACAUGCAAGUCGAGCGAACAGACGAUGAGCUUGCUCCUCUGACGUUAGCGGCGGACGUGUGUGUAACACGUGGAUAACCUACCUAUAAGACUGGGAUAACUUCGGGACUCCGGAGCUAAUACCGGAUAAUAUAUUGAACCGCAUGGUUCAAUAGUGAAAGACGGUUUUGCUGUCACUUAUAGAUGGAUCCGCGCCGCAUUAGCUAGUUGGUACGGUAACGGCUUACCAAGGCAACGAUGCGUAGCCGACCUGAGAGGGGGAUCGGCCACACUGGAGCUGGGACACGGUCCAGGGUCCUACGGGAGGCAGCAGUAGGGAAUCGGCCGCAAUGGGCGAAAGCUUGGCGGAGCAACGCCGCGUGAGUGAUGAAGGUCUUCGGAGCGUAAAACUCUGUUAUUAGGGAAGAACAAAUGUGUAAGUAACUAUGCACGUCUUGACGGUACCGAAUCAGAAAGCCACGGCUAACUACGUG